AACUUUCAACAACGGAUCUCUUGGUACUCGCAUCGAUGAAGAACGCAGCGAAAUGCGAUAAGUAAUGUGAAUUGCAGAAUUCAGUGAAUCAUCGAAUCUUUGAACGCACCUUGCGCUCUUUGGUAUUCCGAAGAGCAUGCCUGUUUGAGUGUCA
rnacentral:rRNA from 1 species